rnacentral:rRNA from 1 species
UACGUAGGGGGCAAGCGUUGUCCGGAUUUAUUGGGCGUAAAGAGCGUGUAGGCGGCCAGGUAGGUCUGCUGUGAAAACUCGAGGCUUAACCUCGAGCUGUCGGCGGAAACCAUCUGGCUAGAGUCCGGAAGAGGAGAAUGGAAUUCCCGGUGUAGCGGUGAAAUGCGCAGAUAUCGGGAAGAACACCCGUGGCGAAGGCGACUACCUGGCCUGUUUCUUGACGCUGAGGCGCGAAAGCUAGGGGAGCAAACGGG